rnacentral:lncRNA from 1 species
GGGCAGCAUAUGUCUACUGGACUUCUCUGAAGCCAGACUGUCCCUUGUCUGUCACUGUAUCAGAGGUGAGAAGGGGUUGAAAUGCCUCACAAGGACAGGAGAACAGGCAGGAAUGUAAGUCCUGGCUUUGAACUCCCUCUAAGGCUGCCAAGCACCCAGUCCCUCUCCAUCAUGCUUCCCUGUUGUUCAUGUACCCCCUCUAGGCCAGGCCAUGAGCUAUUGGUGCUUGUGACACAGUAGUGACUAAAUUCUCAUUCCAGUGAUGCAAUUCCCCACUUCUCCAGGACCAUCCAGACUUUCUGGGGUGCUAGAAUACCCUGGUCCCAGAAGAGGCAGCAUAUUUCUGCUAGCUAUGUGACUUGUCACUAAACAUGCCAUUUCAUAUGGCAGUGACUGGGCUAACCCAUUGGCCUAGUGGUGUUGUAAAUCAGUAAAAGACUUAGAGGGCUGGGGACAGGGCCAGAACUCUUAUGUGCCAUCAUGAGAUCUUAUUGUCAUGGCAUUGUGACACCAUGUUAAAGAUCUGAUCUGCUGGCAGCUUCUGAUAGAGAUAUGAGUCAAUGUUGGGGUGACUCAUGCACUCCAGCUUCACCCAGGCACCAUGCCUGGUCCCUCUCCUUGCCCCCUGUCUUGGAGCCCUGGAAUCUGGCCCACAUUCAGGCAUAGUUACCUUACUCUGACACCCCCUCCUCCAGGUGAUCAUGCUGUAGAAGUCCAGGGUGGAGAGCCCAAUGCUGACAUCAAGGUUCAGAGGUCCUUUUUCCUCACCAGGGCACAGCCCUGUGUCAGUUCUUGCAGGCAGAAGCUAUUCUUGUGUACUUCCAGUGAGGCAGACAAAGAAGCCCCAGACUCUGACCCCUGGCUUCCUGUUUGGACCUCCGAGGACAGCCCCAAUGGUGAUUACAAGUCCUCUCCUUGUAGGCUUUGAGCCUUCUGAACAUUUCUCACCAGAGGAUUUCC